rnacentral:rRNA from 1 species
UACGUAGGGUGCGAGCGUUAAUCGGAAUUACUGGGCGUAAAGCGUGCGCAGGCGGUUUGCUAAGACCGAUGUGAAAUCCCCGGGCUUAACCUGGGAACUGCAUUGGUGACUGGCAGGCUAGAGUAUGGCAGAGGGAGGUAGAAUUCCACGUGUAGCAGUGAAAUGCGUAGAGAUGUGGAGGAAUACCGAUGGCGAAGGCAGCCUCCUGGGCCAAUACUGACGCUCAUGCACGAAAGCGUGGGGAGCAAACAGG